AUUGAACGCUGGCGGCAGGCUUAACACAUGCAAGUCGAGCGGGGGAAGGUAGCUUGCUACUGGACCUAGCGGCGGACGGGUGAGUAAUGCUUAGGAAUCUGCCUAUUAGUGGGGGACAACAUCUCGAAAGGGAUGCUAAUACCGCAUACGUCCUACGGGAGAAAGCAGGGGAUCUUCGGACCUUGCGCUAAUAGAUGAGCCUAAGUCGGAUUAGCUAGUUGGUGGGGUAAAGGCCUACCAAGGCGACGAUCUGUAGCGGGUCUGAGAGGAUGAGCCGGCACACUGGGAAUGAGACCCGGCCCAGACUCCUGCGGGAGGCAGCAGUGGGGAGUAUUGGACAAUGGGGGGAACCCUGAUCCAGCCAUGCCGCGGGUGUGAAGAAGGCCUUAUGGUUGUAAAGCACUUUAAGCGAGGAGGAGGCUACUUUAGUUAAUACCUAGAGAUAGUGGACGUUACUCGCAGAAUAAGCACCGGCUAACUCUGUGCCAGCCGCCGCGGUAA
rnacentral:rRNA from 1 species